AGUGAACGCUGGCGGUAGGCCUAACACAUGCAAGUCGAACGGCAGCACAGUAAGAGCUUGCUCUUACGGGUGGCGAGUGGCGGACGGGUGAGGAAUACAUCGGAAUCUACUUUUUCGUGGGGGAUAACGUAGGGAAACUUACGCUAAUACCGCAUACGACCUACGGGUGAAAGCAGGGGAUCUUCGGACCUUGCGCGAUUGAAUGAGCCGAUGUCGGAUUAGCUAGUUGGCGGGGUAAAGGCCCACCAAGGCGACGAUCCGUAGCUGGUCUGAGAGGAUGAUCAGCCACACUGGAACUGAGACACGGUCCAGACUCCUACGGGAGGCAGCAGUGGGGAAUAUUGGACAAUGGGCGCAAGCCUGAUCCAGCCAUACCGCGUGGGUGAAGAAGGCCUUCGGGUUGUAAAGCCCUUUUGUUGGGAAAGAAAGGCAGCAGGUUAAUACCCCGCUAUUCUGACGGUACCCAAAGAAUAAGCACCGGCUAACUUCGUG
rnacentral:rRNA from 1 species